rnacentral:lncRNA from 1 species
UUACAAAAAUGAAUGUAGUAUGUACUCAAUCGACCGGAUAACAUAGGACAUGUCUUAAAAAGGACAUAACUUAAUAUCUUGCUGAGGACGGUUAGCCAUCAUUUUCGGAUUAGGACAGAAUUAAGGAAAGAUGUGAUUAGAUUAUUGGACCAGUAUAAGGUUGUGAUUAAGAUUCCAUUAAUCGUAAGUUUAUGGUAAAAAUUAUAAAUAGAGGUCAAAGAUACGAGGUAUUUAAUGUUAGAAGUGGGUUUUAGGCCUAAUUCAACCCCACAAAACCCAUGGCAUAUUGUUCCACCUGCUAUUGGGCCGUUAUCGGACC